rnacentral:rRNA from 1 species
CGCAAGGGGCAAGUAGAGUGGCAAACGGGUGAGUAACACGUGGGUGACCUGCCUUCGAGCGGGGGAUAACGUCCCGAAAGGGACGCUAAUACCGCAUAACAUCCUGCCUUUGAAGAGGUGGAGAUCAAAGCCGGGGAUCGCAAGACCCGGCACUUGAAGAGGGGCCCGCGCCUGAUUAGCUAGUUGGUGGGGUAACGGCCUACCAAGGCAACGAUCAGUAUCCGGCCUGAGAGGGCGGACGGACACACUGGGACUGAGACACGGCCCAGACUCCUACGGGAGGCAGCAGUGGGGAAUUGUUCGCAAUGGGCGCAAGCCUGACGACGCAACGCCGCGUGGAGGAUGAAGAUCUUCGGGUCGUAAACUCCUGUCGAAUGGGACGAACGGGUUGCGGGUUAAUAGCCCGCGACCGUGACGGUACUGUUAAAGGAAACCCCGGC